UUUUACCUUAUAGAUGAUGCAUAGAUAAAAACCUCUAAAAGUAAUUAUAUAAGACACACACAUGAACUUUACCUUAUAAAUGUUGCAUAGAUAAAAACCUGUAAAAGUAAUGAUAUGAGAUACACACAUAAACUUUACCUUAUAUAUGCUGGAUAGAUGAUUUCAUCAUUCUUCUCUAAGAUGGCAUUAUAGAAACCUCUAAAUUUAACCGACUCAAAUUUGACUUGGAAAAUAACGAUUUUGCAAACAAAUUUCAAUUUAGUCAUAAGAUGAUGAUGGUAUGGAUGUUUAUACUUUUUUUUUUUUUUUUUGUGUGGCAAAAGCAUCAGAUCUGAGACUGAUAUCAAAGAGGGGCCAAACAUGAGACACUAAUCAUCAACAAAAGGAUGUUUAUACUAACAAAAUAUAUUAUAGAGGAGUGUCCGACUCUCACAAAAACGAAUUGCAAAUUCACCCAAAUCACUCCAACACAGAUGAGUAAAUAACAAAAUUCAAAUUAGAGGACAAAACUAGAUUUGGAGUAAAGUAGCUCAAACAAAAAGAUAAAAAAUCACUCAAAUCACUUCCACACAAAGUUGAGUCAAGAAUGAAGUUUAGAUUAGAAAACAAAACUAGAUGUAAAGUAGCUCAAACAAAAAGAGAAAAAAUCACCCAAAUCACUCCCACACAGAUGAGUCAAGAACAAAGUUGAGAUUAGAGAACAAAACCAGAUCUGAAGUUCAGUAGCUCAAACAAAAAGAGAAAAAAUCACCCAAAUCACUCCCACACGGAUGAGUCAAGAACAAAGUUCAUAUUAGAGAACAAAACCAGAUUUGAUGUUCAGUAGCUCAAAUAAAAGGAAAAAUCACCUAAUCAUUCCCACACAGAUGAGUCAAGAACAAAGUUCAUAUUAGAGAACAAAACUAGAUCUGAAGUUUAGUAGCUCAAACAAAAAGAGAAAAAUCACCCAAAUCACUCCCACAUAGUCAUGUCAAGAACAAAGUUUAGAUUAGAGAACAAAAUCAGAUCUGAAGUUUAGUAGCUCGAACAAAAAGAGAAAAAAAAUCAACCAAAUCACUUUCGCGCAAAGUUCAAAUUAGAGAACAAAACUAGAUCUGAAAUAGGUCAAACACGAAAGGAAAAAAAUCACCCAAAUCACUACCAUACAGACGAGUCAAGAACAACGUUUAGAUUAGGGAACAAUACCAGAUCUAAAGUAUCUCCAAUAAAAAAGAAAAAAAUCACGCAAAUUACUCCCACUCAGAUGAGUCAAGAAUAAAGUUUAGAUUAGAGAACAAAACCAGAUCUGAAGUAGCUCAAACAAAAAAGGAAAAAUAAUCACCCAAAUUACUCCCACUCAGAUGAGUCAAGAACAAAGUUUAGAUUAGAGAACAAAACCUGAUCUGAAGUAGCUCAAACAAAAAAGGAAAAAUAAUCACCCAAAUUCCUCCCACACAGAUGAGUGAAGAAUGAAGUUCAGAUUAGAGAACAAAACCAUAUUUGAAGUAGCUCAAACAAAAAAGGAAAAAAAUAAUCCAAAUCACUCCCACACAGAUGAGUCAAGAACAAAGUUCAUGUUAGAGAACAAAACCAGAUAUGAAGUAGCUCAAACAAAAGAGAAACAAAUGUAUUUUUCUCUCACAAAAUAAAGAAAAGAUUUUCUUCACUUAUAUAUGUUGUGAGCACCUUAAUUCACAUUCACCUUAGAUGUUUCUGGCUCUCUCAAAUUGUUCCAAAAGAGAGAAUUUUCUCUCUUACUAAAAUGUGGAGGCACACUAAACACAGUGAGAAGAUGAUGUAUAUAUAGGUGAUUCUAGGUGACUCAAAACCCUAAGCUGCAAGAACAAAUAGGCCUCAUGGUCUUACUUAAAACCAACCAAAUGGGCUUACUUAACAUCUUUUUCAUUCAUUAACUUGAAGGGGAAAAAAAGGACCAAAAGAAAUUUAGCAGAUUAGGAACCUUGUGCUUACCCCUGACUGUGUAUUACACAUUGAACAACAUUUGUUCCAGUGUAUCGGUUGUGCAUCUAGACCCCUGCCACUGCGAUCUUAGAAUUGCAUUCUAGUUUUUGGUUCAAAUUUUCAAUAUGGUCGCUGAUAUCUUCUCUCUUGAGAAAGUCCAAGAACAUCCGUUGUCUAAAUCAUUCUUGGCCCUAACCAUCUUCUCCAAUUUCUCAAAAAUCUCUUAUUAAAGUUCAUUUAUAUCAACAUUUAUGUACAGAAAAAAAUGAUAAUACGAUUAAAUAUCAGUGUAAGUAAAUACCUCACUGCAGCUCUUACAACAAAUUCCCAGUUGAGGUUGUAGCUAUCUCCACUUCAGCUGGUUCUUAUUUAUUGCUUAUUUCACUUCUUCGAACAAUGCUAGUGCUCUUUGCUUGCCUUCUCGGGGGCCUCCUUUUGUACUCAGGAUCAUCAGAACUAUCUGUUUCAUCAUGUGCAAACACCAAACUACUUCAAUUACUUCAAUAUCCCAGCUUUUCAUUUCUAUUUCUAAGCUCAUACACCAUUGUUUUGGUUCAACAAUAUUCCUGCUUUGUAGUUUUGGUUCACAUUUCACAUAUACGUAAUUAAAUUAACAUAAAUACUGGAUCGUUUAAGCUUGUUAACGCCAAAAAUGGGGUUCAACUUAGAUAGAUAUGGAGUGGUGGAUGGUGUGUGAAGACGUGGGCCUUCAGUAUGUGUAUGUGCCUUCGGGAUGCAAAGCAAGAGGCUGCCUUCUGUAAUCGAUGACAUUCAACAUAAGUAAAGUAAAUAAGCAUGCAGAAGACAAGGUAUACAUGGUUCACCCGAAUAAUAGGCUACGUCCACGGAGAAGGAUGUUCUCAUUGUGAUAAUGUUUACAUUUGUACAAAAGGAUUAGACCCAAAGAUAAAGAGAAGAAGGCCCAAGGCUUAAGGUACAAAGCCCAAGAGUCCAAGGGGUCCAAAGAUCAAGCCCCCUUUCUAAAUGGAGAAUGGUCUUCUUUUCUAGGUGAAGGAGAGUCUCUACCUCUUGUAGUAUUCCAAUGUGGGACUCUUGACAUUGCCCCUAGUUGUGACUUGUGGCAAGGCUUCUUUGGCUAAGGUGACGACCUCUCAAAGCAUGGCACAUGGCUGAUCUUGCCUAGCUAGUUGCUCGGUUAGUCACG
rnacentral:lncRNA from 1 species